UCAUAUGGACUUUGGGUACA
rnacentral:siRNA from 1 species